GAAGGAGAGCGAAUCCAGGGCUGGCGGGGGAGUCCCCGCCCCGUUUUCCGUAUCCGGUGUUUGCUGGAAGAAAACCGCUCCUGCCUGACCUUUUAUUACCCAAGCUCUGCUUCCGUGGCUCGUCCUGUGACGCAGGAAGGGACUGGGUCCGAACAGGGUUCCUUCCUUUAGGGAAGAACGAGGUACAAGAGGGAUGGCUUGUCUCUGGCCACAAAGCUCUGUGUUGCAUCCAAGUUCCAGCUCCUUUUAUUGCCAAAGGGCCUCAAGCGACAACAAGGGGAUAGAGUUACAACCAGACCCUUGGCUGCCUGUCUAGAGAUUAUAUUUCUUAGCCUCACCUCCCAGCUAGCUCUGGCCAUGUGACUAAGGGUUCUCCAAUAGGAUGUGAGCAGAAGACUCUGGGCCUUUCCUUUAAAAGAAAUAAAUGGGUGAUAUCCCUGUCAAGAAAAGGCAGUAAACAAAUCAUUUGAAUUCUUGAAGAAGAAAACCAAAAUAACAGAAGAAAUAAUUGAAGAUAAGUUCAAGAAAAAGUUUUCUGAAAUUAUUUAAAAAAAUGAAUAUACAUAUCAUAAGUACAUGUAUUUUCACUCUGUAGCAGAGAAAAUUGGCUCCAGUCAACCCUGAAAUAUAUUCCAGCAAACUUACCAUACUUUAAAGAAUUGAAUGGGCAGCCUGGGCAAAACAAGUCAUUUUCAAGGGAGAGGGAUCUCGUUGGCUAUAGAAUUUUCCAUAGCAACAUUUAAUGCCACAGAAAAAAAGUACAAGCAGUACAAAAUACUUCUAGAAGUAAAGAGUGAGCAAAUUAUUUUCAGGUAUAAAUAAUAAAAACAAAUACUUUUGAAUAGGGAAAUUCUGGAAAUACUGUUCCUAUGAGUACUUGUUCCUUUGAGAAGACUACUAGAGGAUCCACUUCAGCAAACCAAGACAGGACUGGAAAAAUUUUGGCAAAAGGAUUAAAAUAAAAAUGGAGAUGAGGUGACAGGCCAGGGCAUAAAUGUAUAUGCCCUUACAAUAUAGAAAUGAUAUAAUAUAAAGAAAAAUUGGGAGGAAGGGACAAAUAUGGGUGGUAGGGCAAGGUCAUAGUUUGUUCUACAUCUAGGAGUCAAAGGGUAUUAUUUGGAUAAAUAAAGGAUAAAUAUAAAGCACAUUUAAUAGCUAAGAGGUAAAAAUAAAGGGAACAUCAUGGCCUAAAUUGGGUGAGAGGGGAAAGAGAAAUAGGAUAUACACUAAUUUUAUAAAUCUCCUGGGUGGGAAAUUAAUGGGUUCUGUCUAAAGAGAGGACCAAAGGUAUCACAUAAAGGUAAUUCUAAGAGUAAUCACUAUAACAAAAGUACAAACCUUUGUAAGUAUCAGAAGUAUAUACUCCUAACCAAUGGAAAUAUGGGAAAUGAGCAGGGGCUCAACCAUUCAUUUCUUUUAAGGGAAAGACCCAAAAGAGGCUCACAUUUUUUCUACUCAGAUGCCAUAGUCGCUUGGCAGGGCAGGGAAAGCUGGAAGGGUUAGUCUCAGCUAAGCAGUCAUAUACCCAGCUGUAACCACUACCACAAAAAUGCAAACCUUCCUAAGUAUCACAAGUACAUACAUGCACAUAAAUGCAUUGAAGACAGAAUGCAGAGUGUUGGCAUUUUUAAUAUCUAAGACACUAGAACAAGAUGAAUCAACAAUAUAAAUUAAUAUGACUUUCAAACACUUUGGUCCUAAAAAUAAAAAUAGAUGGACUUAAUUCACUUAUUUAAAUAAAAUAUUUUGAGAUUAAAUUACAAAGUAAACUCCAACUUUUAACCAUAUACAAAACACUCAAGUAAAAACAUAUUUUUAAAUGUUGAAAAUAAAUGUAUAGACAAAGGUAUAUUCAGCAUACAUCAACAAAAAGAAACCAGGAAGUCAUUAUCUGAAUUUCAAAGAAAGUGUGAUUCAGGCCAAAAAGUUUUAAGCAAGUAGAAAAUACAGGAAAUGCCAUGAGAGGUAAAAACACUCUACUAGAAGAUAAUUUUAUUGUUAUGUCCCUCAGUCCACAGGUGAUCAAGUGGACAAAAUGAGGAGGCUAUGAAAGACUCAAAUAAUAUGUUUUAACAGGGUUGAUAUUAUUGAUACAUAUUCAACUCCAUACCCAGAAAAUAGAAGUAGAGAAUGUACAUUUUCUCCCACCCUCUCUUAAGUAACUCUUGGGUCAAAAAGUAAAUAUAAAUCCAAAUUGCAGGCUAUCUGGCAAAAAAAAUAAUAAAAUGUUGCCUAUGAGAACAGAUGUAUUAUUUAAUUUAAAAUAAUUCUAGAAAGAAUGAAAAUAUGUAUACAUACAGCCAAUUUUCAUUAUUCACAGAUUCCAUAUUUGUGAAGUCACCCACUCCCUAAAGUUUAUUUGCACCCCCCAAAUCAGUACUCAGGGCACUUUCAUGGUCAUUCAUGGUGAUGCACAGAGCAGUGAAAAAUCUGAGUUGCUGGCCGCACCUGUUCCCAGAUGAGGUUGAACAAGGCAAUGCUCUGUCUCCUUGUUUCAGCUUAUUCUGUAAACAAGUUUCCUUUUGCCGACUAUUUAGUUCCAUGUUUUUCUCACUUUUGUGUUUUCUGUUGGUGAUUUUGCUGCUUAAAAUGGCCCCCAAGCCUAGUGCUGAAGUGCUGUCUAGCGUUCCUAAGACAGUGAUGUGACUUAUGGAGAAAAUCUGUGUGUUAGAUAAGCUCCGAUCAGGCAUGAGUUAUAGUGCUGUCAGCUGUGAGUUCAACAUUGAUGUAUCAACGUAUAUAUUAAAUUAGGUGUCUUUAAACAGAAACACUCAGAAAACAAAGAUAUAUAUUUAUUGGUUUACAAAAAUGUGACCAGAGGCUCACAGGUACCAAACCCUGUAUUUCUCCUGGGAGCAAAGUUACAAGAUUAGCUAUUUUUGUGUUUGGGGUGAUUCAUGAAACCUAUAUACCAUGAAAAAUGAGAACUGGCUGUAUAUGUAUACACACGCACACACACAAUUAUUUUCAGAGUUCACCCACUUUUUUCAUUGUUUUUUAUUUCAUUUAUUAUACUUUUCAAUCUCAGAAUUUCUAUUUGGUUCUUUUAAAAAAUAUAUAUAUAUAUAGUUUUGAAACUUGAUGAAUGAAUGUGGGGUGGGGGUUAGGAAAAAGGGAGGAAUCAAACACAUCUUCUAUACUUUUGGCUCAAGCAACUGAGUAGAAUUAGUGCCAUUUACUGAGAUAAGGGUGAGCGGUGGUGGAUGACAGGUUUGGAAGUGAAAUAAAGGAAUCUGUUUCAUGUGUCAAAUUUGAGACUCCAAGUGGAAGUUUGGAGUAAGAAGUUGAACUUACGACUUGGCAGUUCAAUAGAGGCAUCAAAGGAGGUGAAGUAUAAUUGGCAGUCAUUAACAUAUUGAUGGAAUUUAUAGCUACCAGACUGGAUGUAGUCCCUAGGGAUGAAAUCUCUGGUACAUGCCAACAUGUAGACAUCAGGAAGCCAUGAAGGGACCAUCACCACCAAUAGAACCACCACUAUUGAAACUAUCAUCAACAUCACCAACAAAUGACCAGGAAGGAGCUAUUAGCAAGUAGGAGACCGUGAUGCUCCAGAAGACAAGAGAGUGCAUCAGGUUCUCGCAGCUUACUCACCUGAGCACAGUGAUGCCAAGGCUUGCCAGGUGCUAUGAAGCAAGAGGCAACCAAUGACCUCCCAGUCAGAAAGACCAUGAUCAGGCCACCCUCCGAUAAGCUGCACCAGCUCCAUCCUCUUGACUGGAGAAACCAGCCUGUUAGGGACAGAUCCCUUCAGGUCUAAUGCCCAGGCUCCUGGGAAGAUGUUUGCCUCCCCAUGCACACUGCUCUCCACACCUGCUGCCUACGCCUGCCUCACCCAUGAGGUCAGCAGAGCAGCUCAUCUAUGGUCAAUCUGUAUAGCCCUCUUGGGGGCCUGUGGUGUAGAGGCAGCCUCACCCUCACAAUGAGAUCUACAGAGAAUCCUCAUUAGCCAACAACAUCGAUUACUACAUCACUCUCCAUGACAAAGAACUAACUAUGAAAAAUUACCAACCUUCUAAUUGUAGUUUGCUGACAUUUCUUUAUCCCUCCCUUUAUUUUAAUGUCUUUUUUUGGCUUUAAGUAUACCAUCAUAUAUUUGGAUUAAACUUUUCACAAACUGAUAGAAUUAAUUUAUUCAUUUAAAUUACUAUCCAACACAUUCUUGGAUGCAUCAAUAUGCAGAAGCUUAACUAUUUCUAAUGCAGACUCUCUUCUUACCUGCCACACAGCAGGAGGAAGGAAUUCCUUUGAUGCUAGGAACUUUAACCUGGGGCAAGGACAGACGGAGGAGGAAAUCAUUCCAAGUGUUUGGGGUAUGACACUGGUCUAACCUUGUGGAAUUAGUACUUUUCUGUUUCAUCAUGGUGGAAAAAUACGGAGGUUCCCACGUUGCAUUUAGCAUGUAAGGUUGCUAGAUUGUGGGGCUGUGUCAACAAGUAUAUGUGUCACUGGGAACCAUUGUUGUGAACGGACCCUGGGCUAUGUUGCAAAUGAGACCCUUGACUCUUUGCCUCUGGGUGAAACUCAGAGUUUUUAAGAAAGGGAAGCUCUGGGUUCACUUCUUUCUUCUCUGGAAGCAGGGGUCACUGUGAAUUAUCCUGCCACAUUAUAGGACGAGCUAUGGGAACUUCAUAUGCAACCAACAGAAUUCUAUCCAGUCUUUAGCAUGAGCACAAGCUUGGCCAAAGUCUUUCAAAAUCUUGGCCUCUCUGCUAAAGCCUUCUAUACCUCUGUUUUGUGGGAUAUCCCAAAUCUGGUUUUUCCUUCCAUUAUGCCAAAUUCCCAUGCUACACCAGUAAUGAUGCUCAGUUUUGAAGUCUGUUUGUAUAUCUUCACCCAAAAUGGGUACCAUGAAGGAAGACUGGGUUUUAGCAGUCAUUAGUAUAGAUGUGGUCUGAUUUUCCAGGAAAGAGAAGUUGUAGAAGUUUGAGAGUGUGAAAUGGGUAAAUCGAGCCGUGAAAAUUGAAGUGGGAUGAGGCUCAUAGGAUGAGGUCUGGUAAAUAGAACGCGUAUAAAGAAGAGUCCUCAGUAUUUGGAGAUCAAAGAAAAACUGUAUAAAGUAUUUUAAUGAUACUGGUAAUAAUAUUUAGCCUAUAAGUAGUAAUGCUUAUUAAAUAUAAGAUAUAGUUUUAAAAAAAUAUUGUAAACAUCCUCACGUAAAUGCUGAACAAAUCAUUCACAUUAUGUAUUUAGGUGAAGGCGAGAAAGGAAAUUUGAAAAGAAAUGAUAAAGAUCACAAGCUGAUUCAGAUUUAGCAACAAGAUGGGAGGCUGAAGUAGAAAAAUUUAUAUACAUCUUAUUUUACUAUUUUUAAAAUACUUUCCAGGUCCUUUUUUCUCUAUUUCUGCCAACACAAUCCAACUCUAUGGGCCUGCAUUUCUUACAAGGCUAACUAAUCAAAUUCCAGAGACCAGAUUUUUAAAAUGUAAGUCUUCAUAACUAACAGAAUUACAGAAAAAGGAGGGAAAGUCCCCUCAAACCAUAGCUGUAGAAGGAGAGAGAGCAGUCUGUACCACAAAACUAACAUAAAGAAUUGAUUUGACAGUAUUAAAUUGAGAAAUUUCAUAAGAAGAUAAGUCUUGUAAAAUAUGGAGAUGUGUCUGUUUGUAACCAUUACCAAUUUGUUCUGUUCUCUGUAAUAUAAACUUGUCCUUGAAAGAGUUAUUUGAAGGGGUCUUGUGAUAACCCCCUCAUUUGAAAUUAUUGCCACUUUUUAUGGAGACAAUUUCUUCAGAAACUUAAUUCUGAUUGAUUGUCUUGAUCAUUUGGGGGCCUGGCCAUAAUAUUUUAAGUGA